GGUCACGUCCCAGGGGGCAGGCGCCUUCGAACCGGGUCAGGUCCGGAAGGAAGCAGCCCUAAGGAGUCACGCAGGCGUCUCUGGGGUGCGUGACCGUC
rnacentral:SRP_RNA from 1 species